rfam:Saccharothrix sp. NRRL B-16348 P442contig98.1, whole genome shotgun sequence.
GCAGCGCCAGCCCUCCGGGCCUGGCGAGGAUCGCAAC